GAUGAACGCUGGCGGCGUGCCUAAUACAUGCAAGUCGAGCGAACAGACGAGGAGCUUGCUCCUCUGACGUUAGCGGCGGACGGGUGAGUAACACGUGGAUAACCUACCUAUAAGACUGGGAUAACUUCGGGAAACCGGAGCUAAUACCGGAUAAUAUAUUGAACCUCAUGGUUCAAUAGUUAAAGACGGUUUUGCUGUCACUUAUAGAUGGAUCCGCGCCGCAUUAGCUAGUUGGUAAGGUAACGGCUUACCAAGGCGACGAUGCGUAGCCGACCUGAGAGGGUGAUCGGACACCCUGGAACUGAGACACGGUCCAGACUCCUACGGGAGGAAGCAGUAGGGAAUCUUCCGCAAUGGGCGAAAGCCUGACGGAGCACCGCCGCGUGAGUGAUGAAGGUCUUCGGAUCGUAAAACUCUGUUAUUAGGGAAGAACAAAUGUGUAAGUACCUAUGAACGUCUUGACGGUACCUAAUCAGAAAGCCACGGCUAACUACGUG
rnacentral:rRNA from 1 species